rnacentral:rRNA from 1 species
GACCCGUCUUGAAACACGGACCAAGGAGUUUAACAAACGUGCGAGUCUGUGAGUUUAUAAACUCAUCGGCGUAAUAAACGUAAAGACAAGCUUUAGUUUGUCGAGAUACGAUCCUGGGUCUCUCGAGGCCUGGGCGGAGUAUCGUCCCAUCUGAGUGGUUCGACCGCUAGGUGGAGAUUGAGCACGUUUGUUGAGACCCGAAAGAUGGUGAACUAUGCUUGAGCAGAACGAAGCCAGAGGAAACUCUGGUGGAGGUUCGUAGCGGUUCUGACGUGCAAAUCGAUCGUCAGACUUGAGUAUAGGGGCGAAAGACUAAUCGAACCAUCUAGUAGCUGGUUCCAUUCGAAGUUUCCCUCAGGAUAGCUGGAGUUUGUUGAUGGAUAGUUUUAUCCGGUAAAGCGAAUGAUUAGAGGAAUUGGGGACGAAAUGCUCCUCAACCUAUUCUCAAACUUUAAAUGGGUAAGAAGCGAAACUUGCUUGAUUGAAGUUUCGUCUUCUGAGAAUAUAGAGCUCCAAGUGGGCCAUUUUUGGUAAGCAGAACUGGCGCUGUGGGAUGAACCAAACGCCGAGAUAAGGCGCCGGACAUGAAAGCUCAUCAGAUUCCAGAAAAGGUGUUGGUUGAUAUAGACAGCAGGACGGUGGCCAUGGAAGUUGGAACCCGCUAAGGAGUGUGU